AUGCACUAGCGGAAACAUACACAAACGGCUUACACGAGGGUAAGCAAUAGCCAUUAGUGAAAGAAAGGAAAACUAAAUAUCUACACAAGUAAUAUGAUUCAUUUUAGAUCAUAUACAUUGCAGCCAUUUCUUACAUUUAGGAUUCUUUGCAUUUCAUUACAUCAUUUCAUCAUUUCUUUCUUACAUCACAUUUACCUCGAAUACACAUUACAUUCUUUUCUUUACAUUACUAAUCAUCAUGUACAAAAGAUGAACAUAGGGUACUCUACUACAAAAUGAAACCCAACUUUGGCGGCCUUUGACUAAGGCGCGAUACCUUUACCUCGGUCACUCGUCGGCUCGCUUGGUCCC
rnacentral:lncRNA from 1 species